UGCAAGUCGAGCGAACAGAUGAGGAGCUUGCUCCUCUGAUGUUAGCGGCGAACGGGUGAGUAACACGUGGGCAACCUGCCCUUAAGACUGGGAUAACUCCGGGAAACCGGGGCUAAUACCGGAUAAUAGAAAGAAUCUCCUGAUUCUUUUUUGAAAGACGGUUUCGGCUGUCACUUAAGGAUGGGCCCGCGGCGCAUUAGCUAGUUGGUGAGGUAACGGCUCACCAAGGCAACGAUGCGUAGCCGACCUGAGAGGGUGAUCGGCCACACUGGGACUGAGACACGGCCCAGACUCCUACGGGAGGCAGCAGUAGGGAAUCUUCCGCAAUGGACGAAAGUCUGACGGAGCAACGCCGCGUGAGUGAAGAAGGUUUUCGGAUCGUAAAGCUCUGUUGUCAGGGAAGAACAAGUACCAUAGUAACUGAUGGUACCUUGACGGUACCUGACCAGAAAGCCACGGCUAACUACGUGCCAGCAGCCGCGGUAAUACGUAGGUGGCAAGCGUUGUCCGGAAUUAUUGGGCGUAAAGCGCGCGCAGGUGGUUCCAAAAGUCUGAUGUGAAAGCCCCCGGCUCAACCGGGGAGGGUCAUUGGAAACUGGGGAACUUGAGUGCAGGAGAGGAAAGUGGAAUUCCACGUGUAGCGGUGAAAUGCGUAGAUAUGUGGAGGAACACCAGUGGCGAAGGCGACUUUCUGGCCUGUAACUGACACUG
rnacentral:rRNA from 1 species